rnacentral:rRNA from 1 species
UUAUGGCUCAGGAUGAACGCUAGCGGCAGGCUAACACAUGCAAGUCGAGGGGUAACAGGGCGUAGCAAUACGCCGCUGACGACCGGCGCACGGGUGCGUAACGCGUAUACAACCUACCUGUAACAGGGGGGAUAACGGAGUGAAAACUCCACUAAUACCCCAUAUUGACGAGUCUUCGCAUGGGGGUUCGUCGAAAGCUUCGGUGGUUACGGAUGGGUAUGCGUGACAUUAGGUAGUUGGCGGGGCAACGGCCCACCAAGCCGACGAUGUCUAGGGGAGCUGAGAGGCUAGUCCCCCACACUGGUACUGAGACACGGACCAGACUCCUACGGGAGGCAGCAGUGAGGAAUAUUGGUCAAUGGACGGAGGUCUGAACCAGCCAUGCCCGCGUGAGGGAAGAAGGUCCUAUGGGUUGUAAACCUCUUUUGCUCCGGAGCAAUAAGGCGGAUGCGUCCGCCGACGAGAGUACGGGGCGAAUAAGCAUCGGCUAACUCCGUGCCAGCCGCCGC